GAUGAACGCUAGCUACAGGCUUAACACAUGCAAGUCGUGGGGCAGCGGAUACUUAGCUUGCUAAGUAUGCCGGCGACCGGCGUACGGGUGAGUAACGCGUACCGAACCUGCCCAUCACACAGGGAUAGGCUUGCGAAAGCAAGAUUAAUAUCUGAUGGUCUCAAUUUUAUGCAUGUAUGAUUGAGUAAAGCCUUCGGGCGGUGAUGGAUGGCGGUGCGUCCCAUUAGGAAGUUGGCGGGGUAACGGCCCACCAAUCCUUCGAUGGGUAGGGGUUCUGAGAGGAAGGUCCCCCACAGUGGAACUGAGAUACGGUCCAAACUCCUACGGGAGGCAGCAGUGAGGAAUAUUGGUCAAUGGGCGAGAGCCUGAACCAGCCAAGUAGCGUGCGGGAUGAAGGCCCUUGUGGGCGUAAACCGCUUUUAUCAGUGAAUAAAGUGCACCACGUGUGGUGUCAUUGCAGGUAGCUGAAGAAAAAGGACCGGCUAAUUCCGUG
rnacentral:rRNA from 1 species